CUCCUCCCGAGCAGGCUGCCUUUAAGAAACCAGAAGAUUGAUUUCCUGGCAGGCUCUACGCCGAGGAGCCCGUCCAAAUGGGGCUCGGAAUACCCACCUUUCUGGUAAUGCAGCCCAGCGGGUCCCAGCCUCGUUUUCCAGCCCUCACUCAAAAUGGAGUCGCUCUGGUUCGAACGCCUCUGACAAGUGUGUACCUACGUGUCAGGCCCAUCCUUCCUGCAGGCCUUUGUCUUGGUGUCACCCUGCCUGAGCUGGCCCCAACCACAGUAGCAACAGUGAUGCUGAUGUGUGACUGCUGCCAGGAGCCUGCUCACAUGACCGUGUGGAGAAAGUUCUUUCCCUGAGGACCAUCUGGAGUGGACGCGUGCACUACCCCUCUCUGAAUACACCCUCCCCACGAGGCCCUCUGGAGCAUCCUGUAGAGCCAGCCCCUACCCAGAGACCCUGAGCCCAGAGAAUGCGCUGGGUGGUGAGCCUGGGGACGAAUGCAGAGCCCUAGGUCUCCUCUCCAGAAAGACCGGAUUUUGCCAUGUUGGCCAGGCUGGUCUUGAACUCCUGACCUCAAGUGAUCCACCUGCCUCGGCCUCCCAAAGUGCAGGGAUUACAGGUGUGAGCCACUGCACCCGGCCUCAGGCAGGUAUUUUUACCAGCCGAAUACUCUUGCACUGUGCACUCUUCGUGUUCAUCAUCAGUCCCCCGGAUGGGUGUUUAAGGCAUUUCCAAAGCUCUGUUAUUAAAAACACGAUGCAAU
rnacentral:lncRNA from 1 species